GGACAUUGAAUCCCUCACAACAUUCGACCUUUUGUGUAUAACGAUGUAAAUACAUGUUUGCUUCCCAUGAGCUAAAACGUCACGUUCUCUACCUUUUAUAUCAGAUGGAAUCAGGCAACAUUUACUGCCAUAAUAUGUCAGAAAUACAAGGAAUCUCACUUGGUUGGUGCCAACAAGACAACAGUGCACGAGGAAUCAAAAAUAAUGCUGUGGGUCAGUAGUACAAGGCUAUGGGUUAGUAAUAUAAGGCUAUGGGUUAGUAGUAUAAGGCUAUGGGUUAGUAGUAUAAGGCUAUGGGUUAUUAGUAUAAUGCUAUGGGUUAGUAGUACAAGGCUAUGGGUUAGUAAUACAAGGCUAUGGGUUAGUAAUAUAAGGCUAUGGGUUAGUAAUAUAAGGCUAUGGGUUAGUAGUAUAAGGCUGUGGGUUAGUAAUAUAAGGCUAUGGGUUAGUAAUAUAAGGCUAUGGGUUAGUAGUAUAAGGCUAUGGGUUAGUAAUAUCAGGCUAUGGGUUAGUAAUAUAAGGCUAUGGGUUAGUAAUAUAAGGCUAUGGGUUAGUAGUAUAAUGCUAUGGAUUAGUAGUAUAAGGCUAUGGGUUAGUAGUAUAAGGCUAUGGGUUAGUAAUAUAAGGCUAUGGGUCAGUAGUAUAAGGCUAUGGGUUAGUAAUAUAAGGCUAUGGGUUAGUAAUAUAAGGCUAUGGGUUA
ensembl:lncRNA